UGGCGGACGGGUGAGUAACGCGUGGGCAACCUGCCCCAUACAGGGGGAUAACAGUUAGAAAUGACUGCUAACACCGCAUAAGCGCACAGGGCCGCAUGGUCCGGUGUGAAAAACUCCGGUGGUAUGGGAUGGGCCCGCGUCUGAUUAGCCAGUUGGCGGGGUAACGGCCCACCAAAGCGACGAUCAGUAGCCGACCUGAGAGGGUGACCGGCCACAUUGGGACUGAGACACGGCCCAAACUCCUACGGAAGGCAGCAG
rnacentral:rRNA from 1 species